rnacentral:rRNA from 1 species
UACGUAGGUGGCGAGCGUUGUCCGGAUUUACUGGGCGUAAAGAGCGCGCAGGCGGUCGUUCAAGUCGCGUGUGAAAGCCCCCGGCUCAACUGGGGAGGGUCACGCGAUACUGAUCGACUCGAAGGCAGGAGAGGGUAGUGGAAUUCCCGGUGUAGUGGUGAAAUGCGUAGAUAUCCGGAGGAACACCAGUGGCGAAAGCGGCCACCUGGACUGCACCUGACGCUGACACGCGAAAGCUAGGGGAGCGAACGGG